rnacentral:rRNA from 1 species
UGGGGAAUUUUGGACAAUGGGCGAAAGCCUGAUCCAGCAAUGCCGCGUGUGUGAAGAAGGCCUUCGGGUUGUAAAGCACUUUUGUCCGGAAAGAAAUCCUUGGCUCUAAUACAGUCGGGGGAUGACGGUACCGGAAGAAUAAGCACCGGCUAACUACGUGCCAGCAGCCGCGGUAAUACGUAGGGUGCAAGCGUUAAUCGGAAUUACUGGGCGUAAAGCGUGCGCAGGCGGUUUGCUAAGACCGAUGUGAAAUCCCCGGGCUCAACCUGGGAACUGCAUUGGUGACUGGCAGGCUAGAGUAUGGCAGAGGGGGGUAGAAUUCCACGUGUAGCGGUGAAAUGCGUAGAGAUGUGGAGGAAUACCGAUGGCGAAGGCAGCCCCCUGGGCCAAUACUGACGCUCAUGCACGAAAGCGUGGGGAGCAAACAGGAUUAGAUACCCUGGUAGUCCACGCCCUAAACGAUGUCAACUAGUUGUUGGGGAUUCAUUUCCUUAGUAACGUAGCUAACGCGUGAAGUUGACCGCCUGGGGAGUACGGUCGCAAGAUU